GCGACUCCUAUAAAAACUAAAACUCGUAUAGUUACAUGCUACACAAGAGAGUUUUGUUUUUUUGUAAAUCAAUCCUCAGUUAAAAUGGCGCAAUUGGUUAAUAUUUUCGUUGUGUUUAGUUUAUGUUUCGUCUUAAUACAGGGUUUUAAAGUGAAUGAAAGAUCAGGUGAUCAACAGGUUUCCGCCAAUGCUGCACCGCCACCAGUUCACAGUGCUGAUGUUGGUGAAAGUAAAGGCUGCAAUGCGUUUGGGGACAAGUGUAGCUGGUGGGCUGGAUGCUGUGAGGGUAUGAAGUGUGAUGGUUUCUUUAAUGGUGUCUGCUGGUACGAUUGGAAAAAAUAAAGAAACCAAAAAAACAUUAUAACAAACAUUUCUGUCCCCUAUUAUUCAUGUUAUAUCUUUGAAUACGCACCUUCGGCUAAAUAAUAAAUGCUUAUGGCGGUUUUCGCCAAUUCUAA